rnacentral:rRNA from 1 species
GACGAACGCUGGCGGCGUGCUUAACACAUGCAAGUCGAACGGUAAGGCCCUUCGGGGUACACGAGUGGCGAACGGGUGAGUAACACGUGGGUGAUCUGCCCUGCACUUCGGGAUAAGCCUGGGAAACUGGGUCUAAUACCGGAUAGGACUCCGGACUGCAUGGUCUGGGGUGGAAAGCUUUUGCGGUGUGAGAUGGGCCCGCGGCCUAUCAGCUUGUUGGUGGGGUGAUGGCCUACCAAGGCGACGACGGGUAGCCGGCCUGAGAGGGUGACCGGCCACACUGGGACUGAGAUACGGCCCAGACUCCUACGGGAGGGAGCAGUGGGGAAUAUUGCACAAUGGGCGCAAGCCUGAUGCAGCGACGCCGCGUGAGGGAUGACGGCCUUCGGGUUGUAAACCUCUUUCAGCAUCGACGAAGCGAAAGUGACGGUAGGUGCAGAAGAAGGACCGGCCAACUACGUGCCAGCAGCCGCCGUAA